GACGAACCGAGCGAACGUUGUUCGGAAUCACUGGGCUUAAAGGGCGCGUAGGCGGGUGCUCAAGUCCGGGGUGAAAUCCUCCAGCUCAACUGGAGAACUGCCUCGGAUACUGGGUGCCUCGAGGGUGGCAGGGGUAUGCGGAACUAUCGGGUGGGAGCGGUGAAAUGCGUUGAUAUCGAUAGGAACUCCGGGUGGCGAAGGCGGCAA
rnacentral:rRNA from 1 species